rnacentral:tRNA from 1 species
UUGCAUGUGGCAUACCGGUUAUCGCAUACCUUCAUUGUGUGGAGGAUGUUGGUUCGAAUCCGCUCAUGGAAG